rnacentral:rRNA from 1 species
AGGUUGAACGCUGGCGGCAGGCCUAACACAUGCAAGUCGAGCGGUAGAGAGGUGCUUGCAUCUCUUGAGAGCGGCGGACGGGUGAGUAAUGCCUAGGAAUCUGCCUAGUGGUGGGGGAUAACGUUCGGAAACGGACGCUAAUACCGCAUACGUCCUACGGGAGAAAGCGGGGGACCUUCGGGCCUCGCGCCAUUAGAUGAGCCUAGGUCGGAUUAGCUAGUUGGUGAGGUAAUGGCUCACCAAGGCGACGAUCCGUAACUGGUCUGGAGAGGAUGAUCAGUCACACUGGAACUGAGACACGGUCCAGACCUCCGUACGGGAGCAGCAAGGUGGGAAUAUGGACAAGUGGGCAAAGCCUGAUCCGAGACCAUCGGCCGCGCGUUGUACGGAAGAGGUC